CUCCUACGUUUCCUGUGCACGCAAAGUCACAGAGGUAUUUAACGUUGUCUGUAUGAACCCUCUCCUCCAGUCAUCACCUGUCAAGCACAGCAGCACAACACGAGUCUCGCCCCAUCAUAGGAAACAUGAAAAGUUUCAGGUUGUGCACCCUGGUGCUGGUGGUGAGUCUGGUGGUCGGGGCAGUUGUCUGCGCUCCCCAAAUUCCAAGAUACAAGGUUCCUAACCUGUGCCCGCUGCUGAGGAUUGACUGUUCUCCCCAAAACGGGCGGCCGCCUGUCCACGGGUGUUGCUACAUGCCCAGGGAUACCCUGAUCCCGCGCCCUGGUUAUCUGGGAUAGCCAGCCUGUGUGUUCUGGGACUGUACACACACGACACACACCACCUGAGAAUUAUUGCUUCCCGUCAUGCUGCAUGAGAUGCUGAAUUGUUUUCUAUAUAUUUGUUUUUUCAGGCAUUUUUUCCUCUGCUUCACUUCCCUUAAAAAUUUAGAUUGAAUAGCCGGUUCAAUCGCAUCUCUACGCAAAAGCUUUUGUAUUGAGUUCUAUGGCCAGGUGGUACAAAUCUCACCCAACCUCAUAAAAUAUUUUGCUGUAGUUUAUUUUGCUGUUUUUACCUCGGACGGUUUGCUGAAGGGUGUAAAUGAAAUUAGAGAAAUACACUUUCCAUUAGUGUUAAUUCCUGAAUUUGUAAUGAUUUAUAGUUAAAUAUAUAAAUACGAUAAAUUCAUCAGGCAUUCAUUUGUAUUUAUAAUCCUAAAGCAUCCUAAAAAUCAUCAGCAUCCUAAAAAAUCAUUCAUCAGGCAUUCAUUUGUAUUUAUAAUCCAAAGCAUCCUAAAACCUUCCCCUAUACUAGUGAGGAGAAAUCGGGUUUCCUGAAAACAAUAUAAUAUUAAUGAGUGCCCUCCAAACCUUUUUCAUAGAAUUUUGUAAAGUGAAAAUAAUAUUUUUCAUACAUGAACACGAUGAAGGCAAAAUUAUUUUGAAUAUAUCGCUCGGGGCUGGAAGUUCUCAGACGUCAAGGGCAUCAUAAACAACUUGUUCCGUGGCUCCUAUCUCUAGAAGUCUAGUAUCAGUCCAGCAAUAGACUAGAGAAAAUCAGCGACCGCAUUUCUUCAAAGUCUCAUUUAUAGAAAAUGCGUUGAUAUAUUGAAAUGCAAAAAUCUGCUUUAAAAUUUCCGUAUACCUCAGUGGCCUGUUGAUAGGGGUCCAGUGCCGACCCUAUUAAGAAAAAGGAAAGGAAACACCAUCCUUUCAUUUUUUCUGAUUAUGUGUAGAUUUGGGUUAUUAGAAUUUUUUGAAUGAGAAUGAGAAUUCUCAUUAUGAAUGAAAUUUGCUUACUUUUUUGAAGGGGCGAAAUGCAAAAGAAGCGAAUUUCCUGAUGAACUUCUUCAUAAUUUUUACUUCCAUGUGAAAAUUUAUUUUUCCAUUAAUAAAAACCAACUUAAUGUCAUUUUAAAUACACUAGUAAAUUUGAUGGAGGUGUUAACAGUUUAGCUGAAGGAAAAGUCCGAGGAAGUUAUAGUAUUUUAUCAUAUUUUUUUUUUUACUUGGCACAGGUUCUUGUGAUUUAAAAUUAGCUGAAUAUAUAGUUGUCAAGAGGACUGCUUAGUGGGCAGAAAACUGCCUUACCAUAAGGUCAUAAUGGAUGGAUUCUACAUGCUAAUAUAAUUUUAGCAGAGAUCAAGCUUAGUAAAUAUAAAAUGGUCAUUUUAAAUCACAUUUUCUAUAAUAUAAUACAAACUUUCUUAACAUCCUUUACCAAUUCUUACAUAGCCUGUUACACAGACAUGGUAGGACACUCUGGUUGGACAGAUCCUGACGACUUGUAUGACACAUGGUAAACAGGAUGCAGUGUCCUGUCAGGUGUUAUUCAUCUGAGACAAGUUAAUGUUACCUUUAGGGUUCUUAAGAGUGUAGCCCCAAGGUAUGUAGCGGUUAUCCCUACGUCAGUACGUGCAGAAUUUUCCUGAAAUCUCUCAACUAUAAUUCAUGGUGAACACUGGAGGCAUCUUUUACUAUAAUAAAAUUGCCUUUCACGACCUAAGUCCGGUCCAAAACAGAUUAUGUUGCUUCAGUUCCUCUCACAUUUUUCUGUAAUGAAAUCAAGAAGCUUGUAAGUAAUGAAAUGAAGCCAUUAAACGGAUUCAUUGAGUACUAAAAACCGACAAAAUAUCGAAAUUAUUAAAAGAACUUUGUCUUUUAUUCAUAUACCGUGUUCUUCUAAUUUAAUAAAAGCUAAGACUAUAUAAAUAAAAUGAGAUAAGAGCCUCCUUCUCCUCGACUACUCCAUCCACUACCACAAACACUGCUGACGUUUCAUCCUCAGCGAACCCCAAGACCCCUCCGGUCUUCCCUCACCCCUCCCAUGUUUCCUGAACCAGCAAGGCAACACCGGUAUUUAACCUUGGCGGUAUCCAGCUGGACGACUUCUACGACCCUGUGUUCCUCGCUCUGCCAGUCUCCACUCAGCCAGCGUUGCGUCAAGACACGAGUCUCACUCCACCAGCGGCAUCAUGAAAAAGUGUUCCGUCGUGAUGGUGUUGGUGUUGUGUCUCCUGGUCGCGGACGUCCUCUCUGAACCACAAGGUCCAAGGGAGAGCCUGAGGGAGCUGUGCAUGCGUGUGAGAGUAAACUGCAGGAUCAAACCUCCCCACCCAUGUUGUCACUUUCAUGGAUCCCCGGUUCGAGGCCCACCCAUCGGGUAGCAGCCCAGAGUACUCUUGCUAUCAUCAUUCGCGGGACUUGACCACCUCUUGAAUGCCUGGUUUCCCUCAAGCCACCUUUCCAUACUAACAUAAAGUUUACUGUAUAUGACUCUUCAAAUGAGAAGACGUGGAAACUUUGUACAAGUUGUUAUAUAUACCAAAGCAUUUACUCAGCUAAACUUCAAUGCACAAAUAUCAUAGGCAUGCUUGUUCAGUAGCAUCUCUGCAGGAACUCUUCGAUGUAAAACUUUCUGUCAGUUUGCAGAUGAAAUAUAUCAUCCGACCUCAUAAAUAACUUUCACAGCAAUCUAUUUUGUAUUAUUAAGGUUAUCAGUUUUUCCGAAAUUCUUUAAUAUAACCAGAUCAGUACGGCCUGCAUUAGUUUGAAUUACGGAUUUUAUAAUAAUUCUUAUUAUAGUAGAAUAUGAAUAUCAGACAAAUCAUGAUUUUUUUUAUAUGAAAGUGCUAUUAAACCAUCAAUUAUAUGACGUAAGUAAGAUAUGUGGAAUCGUUGUGGGUUAGGCGGGAGAGUGAGAGGAUGGGGUUGUACGAGUCACGCGGUAAUUUAGGUUAAGUAUCCCUGAGUCUGUUCAGUAACUGGAUGGGUGACCCUGUUAACACCAUCACUCAUGGUUAAUGCGACUGAUAUGCUGUAGUCGGAGUUGUUCCCCUCCCGACAACAGUAUAACGAUAAUGAUAUACCAGUAUACCAACACUGGUGUACUAGUGUUGGUAUAUCGACAAUAUUAGUAUACCUCAUAAUCGUAUACAAGCACACCAACAAUGGUAUACUAAUAUACGGUAUAUGUCAGUAUACGGACAGUGGAAUGGUGUACCAUCACCGGGGACAAAUAGCCUGUUAGCCAUAUUGAAGGUCAUCCAGGUUAACGACUGACCUUCCCCAGGAUACAACUCACAACAGUUAUCAUACUACCUGACCCCUAUUUAAUGAUAGGUCAACAGAGGCAUCAGGUGCAAGGCAAUGCCUCUAACCCACGCGAAUCAACUAAUUGAAAUGAAUCCGGCUAACACUGCUAGAGGGACACUCACCUGUACUCGUGAAACACACCUGUAUUUCAUUCAUUCUCCAAUAUUCUACUAAACCAUCGGAAUCCUCCCUAAUGCACCUGUAUCCUCUUAAUCCUCAUGUAUCCUCCUAAUCCACCUAUUUCCUCUUAAUCUACCAGUAUCCUCCUAAUCCACCUAUAUCCUCUUAAUCCACCUGUAUCCUCCUAAUCUACCUGUAUCCUUCCAAUCUACCUGAAUCAUCCUAAUCUGUCUAUAAUUUUCUAUGCAACAUGUAACACUUGCACUUGAUGCUCCAACAGGUAAUAAACUAUAAAAUAUAUCAAAUAUUAGUGUCGUAAGAUGUGCUCUUUUAAAUAUACCAAAACAAGCCAAGUUGUCCCUUCCGACUUGCUUACAUCUUCGAAGAGAAGAAAAAAUAUAUAAGUGUGACCUGAAAGUGUCAAAAAAUUAGUAUAAAGUUUCGCAUCACAUUAAUUUCAGCCGGGAUCACCCAAGACUGAAACCCCACCAUAUUGCGGAGUUCAUCAGUUGCCCGAACCUAACCUAAUCGAUAACCGACGAAUAGAAAAUGGGACCCCCCCUUUAGUGAAACGCUAUGAUUUACGAUUCGAGAAGACAUCCUGAGGUCAUGAUGACGUCUUGAAAUAUCUCGUUGCAAGUAAAUGCGCUGCAAGAAUGAUUGGCAAGUCUAGCUAAGAGGAUGAGCGGAUUACCUGGAUGGAGGUGAGGAAAUACUCCUCAGCCACACUUGACCGAGGAUCCUCCUCUAUGUUCCUCAUCGAAUUAAGGAAAUGUUGGAAAUGACCGAGAAGACCUGUUGACAGUCGUUGAUCCUAAAGUAGAUCAUACUGAAUUCUACCCAUGAAGGUUAAUCUACCAGUCAGAGGCAUCAUCACACUACAGUUAAGCAACAGUCACAACUGCAUAUUAUAAUUCAGUAUGGAGGAGUGAAGCUGUGCAGAGAAACUGUACAACUAAUAGAAUGAAAGAAAUAAAGUUGAUAAAAGCAUCAAUUUCAACAACACCAAUUAAACUGUUCCACACAAAAAUAUAUUGAAAAUUAGGGGAAAGUUUUACGUUGUUUGGUUUAAGAAAUGUUUUAUUUUUUGGUCAAAUUUUGCGCUGUCUUGAUAAAGAGUUUCAUUUUGCAGCCACGUGAUAAAUUAUGCACUACGAAUUGUCUGAUAAAUUCUUCCUAGAUGCGUCUGAGUGCAAAAUGAACAAUGUUUGGGAUCUUCUUCCUAACUGGUGGUUGUUGUUCACGCUGUUAUGUUGGUGCAACUCAUCACUGAAGGGAUGAGUGAUGCUGCUCGAUCAACUCGCCCAUGUUAAAUAAUAAUUAUUUAUAUUUGUGUUUAUCAGCUGGGCUUGGGUCUGCCCUUUCUAUUAGGUCUAGCUCAGCCCUUUUGUGCUAGUUCUAGUUGAGCUCUCGGUGCUGUCGUGAGGUGUGCACACGAAUGCAAUAGCUCAUUGCCGGUACAAUUAUUUCGCUUCUUAUUUUUGCAUUAAAAAUAUAGUUCCCUAUAAAUCUAACCACUGGAGUGAUUUCAGUGGUGAAUCUGAGUGAUAUAUCCGGCUUUCCCUAAGAUACUUUUGCCUAGAUAUAAAUAUUAAUAUAAUAUUUACUGUGAUUCACUACUUCAUUUCCUUUACGUUGAACAGAGUAAAGAAUACUAGUCAAUAAUUAACAAAAAAAUGUAAGGGAAAACAUUAUCCCUCAUACUGCUUACCGUUUCUCCUACUUCUUCUAUCUACUAGACCUUCUGCACCUCUUCAUCUUAGCCUAGUUGUGUUCCUCCGCGGCUACCACACACACACACACACACACUCUCCAUGUACCAGCGUGGGCGGCCCUGGCCUCCCACACCUACUGGACAAGUUUCCUGAACCAGCAAGGUAACAACGGGGCCUAACCUUGUCGGUCUUCACCUGUGCUUAAUCUCGUAUCUCGGGUAACCCGUUCAUUUUGCGUCAACACCGCGGGUAGCAACUCAAGUCCAUCCCUCUCCUACGUCAGCACCGCAGGAAGCAACACAAAUACCUCUUCUUCCUCAGCGGCAAAGUGGAAAACUAGAGACGACAUUUUGUUCCUAAAAAUUUAAAUUUUAGAGCCAGCAUGUAUGGAGGCUGGCGGCAGCAAGGACACUACGCACAAGACAGAGUACCAGAGAGGGCGGAGUGCAAUAUUAGACACAGGUCUCACGGACACCAUGUGACUACAGCUAUGCAAUUACAUCACUCACGUUCAAGCAUGACAAGAAAACUUGGCGGCGUUCAAUAUAUUGUCCCUUAUUGUCUUGAAUAGUGACUUUCA